GCCGGGUGUGAGCUGCAGACUGAGGUGUCUCGCGCUCUCCAGCCAAUCAGAGCGUUGCCGCGGGUUACCACGGCAACGCUCUGACUGGAGAUCGCGAGACAUUCUCCAUGUGGUCUGCAGCUCUGCAUCCGGCGGAGCUGCAGACCGGAAAGCCCACUGGACCACCAGGGAGCCAUCCAGACUGACCCCACUGGACCACCAGGGAAAAAGGUACAUUUUGAUUCCCCACCCUGCACCCCACCUGUCACCCCCCCUCACCCUGCACCCCACCUGUCACCCCCCCUCACUGCCACCUCACCCUGUCACUCACCCUGCACCCCACCUGUCACACCCCACCUCACUGCCACCUCACCCUGUCACCCCCCCUCACCUGCACCCCCACCUGUCACCCCCCCUCACUGCCCACUCACCCCUGUCACCCCCCCCUCACCCCUGUCACCCCAUUCCCCUGUCACCUCCCCUCACCCAGUCACCUCCCCUGCCCUGUCACCCCCUCACCCUGUCACCUCCCCUCACCCUGUCACCUCACCCUGUCACCUCCCGCCCUGUCACCCCUCCUCACCCUGCCACCUCACCCUGUCACCCCCCCUCACCCUGCCCUGCCCCUGUGCCCCACUCACCCCUGUCACCUCCCCUCACCCCUGUCACCUCACCCUGUCCUCCACCUGUCACCCCCCCUCACUCUGCCACCUCACCCUGUCACCCCCCCCGCUCACCCUGUCAUUCCCCUCUCACUCUGUCACCUCACCCUGUCACCCCCUGUCACCCCCUGCCACCCCACCUGUCACACCCUGUCACCUCCCUCUCACCCUGUCACCCCACCUCNNNNNNNNNNNNNNNNNNNNNNNNNNNNNNNNNNNNNNNNNNNNNNNNNNNNNNNNNNNNNNNNNNNNNNNNNNNNNNNNNNNNNNNNNNNNNNNNNNNNUGCAAUUUCGGGAAACAAAAUGGCCACCGCUGAUAACUCUCCCCUGCUCAGCUCCCUCGCGCACACUGCAGUGAUGCUGGAGCCGGAAUAUGAUGUCACUCUGGCCCCGGCAUCACUAAGAGGCGCGUGAGGAAGUUGAGCAGUGAGCAGGAAGAUCACUGCUCUCUCGCCACCUGCACUGCACGCCAGCCGCUCAGCCCCACUGGACCCCAGGGACCACAUGUCAGCCGCUCAGCUCAGCAGCCCCACUGGACCCUAGGGACUGCACGCCAGCAGCUCAGCCCAGCAUCCCCACUGGACCCCAGGGAAAUAGAGACUCCAUGCCAGCACUCUCAAAGGUAGGGAGGCUUGGUGGAGUGAAAUUUAAAAAAAGAAAUAAAUUGUGUGUGUGUGUGUCUGUUAAGGAGUUUGUAUGUGUGUUUGUCAGUGAGUGUGUGUAUAUGUGUGUUUGUCACUGAGGGUGUGUGUAUGUGUGCUUGUCAGUGUGUGUGUAUGUGUGUUUGUCACUGAGAGUGUAUGUGUGUUUGUCAGUGAGUGUGUAUAAGUUUUUUGUCAUUGAGAGUGUAUAUGUGCUUGUCAGUGAAUGUUUGAGUGCGUAUGUGUUUGUUAGUGAGAAUGUAUAUGUGCUUCUCAGUAAGAGGGUAUAUGUGUUUGUAUGUAUGUCUGUCAAAGAGUAUGUGUUUGUCAGUGAGAGUGUAUGUGUGUCUGUCAAAGAGUAUGUGUGUCUACGUACAGCAAUCAAAUGUGCAUACAUUAUUAUUUAUUUUUUUAUAUGGCGCCAGCAAAUUCCAUAGUGCUGUACAAUGGGUGGAAGGGCCUGCUUAAUGAGCUUACAUGCUAGAGGGAGUGGGGUAUAGUGACACAAAGGGUAUAAGGAGGGGUAAUGAAAUAGGUUGCUAGAAAAGUAUACUAUUCACUGAGAACUUAUUUUUGACAGUUGCAAGAGAGAAGUCAUGGGGGAGGAGGUGAAUGAAAACCCGCUAACAAUUUAAAUGAUAUGCUUUCCUGAAGAAGUGUGUUCUCAAAGAUUUUUUUGAAGGAGUGGAGAUUGGGUGAAAGUCUAAUGGAGAAGAGAAAGGAGUUCCACAGAAAACGUAGGUCUUCGGCAGAGCUGGGGCCUCGAAGAAAUAUAUUUGUGUAUUAGGGAGGAUAAGUAGGUUGGAGCAGGUAGAGACUUGUAAGCAAGCACCAGAAUCUUAAACUGAGCCCUAUAUCUAACUGGAAGCCAAUAUAGGGACUGGCAGAGGGGGUAGGCGUGGGAGGUUCAGCGGACAGGUAAAUGAGGCUCGCCGCCGCAUUCUGGGAACACGUAAGACCACUGAGAAGGGGACUGCAGUAGUCACGGCGAGAAAGAACAACGGCCUGGACCAGCACCUUAGCUGCGUCUGGUGUUAAGUAGGGGCGGGUACGAGCUAUGUUUUUUAGAUGGAAGCAGCAGGAUUGGGCGAUCGACUGGACAUGAGGGGUGAAGGGGAGGUUGGAGUCAAAGAGAUCAAGUAGGCAGCGAGCCUGCGAGGUAGAGCUUAUGGUGGUGCCGUUGACUUGCAGGUAGACAGACACGGGAGAAGCAACACUUGAGUGAGGAAAGAUCAGAAGUUCUGUUUUGGACAGGUUGAGUUUAAGGAAGUAAGCAGCCAUCCAGUUGGAAAUCGCAGAGAGGCAGUCAGAGACAUGAGUCAAGAUGGGCGGAGAGAGAUCAGGAGAGGACAGGUAGAUUUGUGUGUCAUCUGCAUAUAAAUGAUAAUGGAAGCCAAGGAGCUGAUGAGUUUACCAGAGGAGGCAGUGUAGACUGAGAACAAUAGGGGACCAAGGACAGAACCUUGGGAACGCCAACAGAGAGGGGUUGGGGAGAAGAGGCAGAGACAGAGAAAGAAACACUGAAAAAGCGCUGGGAGAGGUCGGAGGAGCACCAGAAGAGAGCAGUAUCUCGUACACCGAGAUAACGGAGAAUGAGAAGAAGCUGUUGAUGAUCAACAGUGUCAAAGACAGCAGAAAGAUCGGGAGAAUUAGGAUAGAGUAAUGGCCCGCGAGACUUAGCCGCGAAUAAAUCGUUGGAUACUUUGGUCAUAGCUGUUUCAACAGAGUGACGAGCGCGGAAUCCAGACUGAAGCGGGCCAAGCAGAAAGUUGGAUUUGAGGAAGUCUGUCAAUCUCGCAUACACAACUCACUCAAGGAUCUUGGAGGCAAACAGCAGUAGCAAUAUAGGGCGGUAGUUGGAUGGGGAGUCGGGGUCGAGGUUGGGCUUUUUCAAAAUCGGCGUUAUAGUUGCAUGCUUGAAGGGUGAAGGAAAUGUUCUGGAGGAAAGGGAGAGAUUGAAAAUGUUAGUGAGAUGAAGAGCAAGAGAGGGAGACAGAGUGCGGAUGAGAUAUUAGGGAAUAGGAUCAAGGGAGCAGGUGGUGGGGCGGGAGGACCGGAGCAGAGCAGAAACCUCUUCCGUUGUAGUAGGUGUGAAUGAGCAUAGAACAGUGGACUGAGUGGGGUUGGGUGAUGUAUUGGAAGAUGUGUUGGAAGGGGAGGAUUAGAGGUUAGCGAUCUCUUCCCUGAUUGUAGAAAUCUUCUCAGUGAAGUGAGUUGCAAAGUUUGAGGCGGACAAGGUGGUAGGGGGAGCAACAGGGCGAAGGAGAGCAUUAGAAGUGUGAAAUAGGCAUUUGGGUUGGCAGGACAGUGUCCUUAUGAGGGUGUUGAAGUAAUUUACUUUUGCAGAGGAAAGAGCCAGAGUGUAGGAGUGCAGCAUACAUUUAUAGUGGAGGACGUUCGGUGCUGAGUGAGACUUUCUCCAACAGCGUUCAGCAGUUCUGGAACAUUUUUUGAGAUAUCAAGUCAGCUUGGUGUGCCAGGGUUGUAAUUGGGAACGAUUGCAGCGUUUAAAUAUAGGAGGUGCCAUAAUGUCAAGUAGGGAAGUGCAUGGGCAAAAAAUUUGGUUCACUUCCGAAAUUCGGAACAUCGGCAAAUCGGGACUUCGGCACGGCAAUUCCGAAAUCCGGGACUUCGGCAAUUCCCUAACCCUACCCCUGUAGGCUAAGGGGUAGAGUUAGGCUUAGGAGUAGAGGAAGGUUGGGGUAAAGGUUAGGGGUAGAGUUAGGGUUCGGGUUAAGGGUAGGGUUAGUGGAAGGUUGGUGUGAGGGUCAGAGGUAGGGUUAGAUUCCUGUCAUCAGUCCCUUAAUUUUCCCUUCCUCUCCUGUUUUGCCACUUUUCAGAAAUCUGAAGCACUCGGCACUUCCGAAAUCCGGCACUCGGCAAUUCAGUUCGGCACUUCGGAAAUUCAGCACUUCGCCAAUUCGGACUUUCGGAAGCAUCGGAAUGUCUGAAUUUCUGAAAUCCGUCCGAAUUUAAAUUCGGACCGAAAUGAAUUGCACAUGUCUAAUGUCAAGUUGAGAGGAGAGAGUGGAGUUGUAGAGUGAGGUUGCAGAGUUAGGGCAGGUGAGAUUUGAGUUGGGUUAAAGGAGAGUUUGGUGGAGAGAUGCUGGAGAUCAAAGGUCAGCAGAUGUUGGUCAGAUAAAGGAAAUGGAACAUUGGAGAGAUUAGAGGUGGUACAAAGAUUGCUGAAGAUGAGGUCAAGGGUGUUUCCUGCUGUAUGAGUUGCUGAAAUAGACCACAGUGUGAGGCCGAAGGAGGAGGUUACAGAGAGCAGACGGGAGGCAGCAGGGCAGUUGAGGUUGUUGAUUGGGAUGUUACAGUCCCCAAGUAUAUGGGAAAGAGUGCUAGAGGAGAGAAAGUGUGGUAGCCAGGAAGAAAAGUGUACAAUGACUAGCCUAGGAUGACCAGGGGGGAGGGGACAGUGUGAACUUCAAAGGAAGUGAAGGAUAGGGCAGGGAGGAUAGGUUGAAAGGUACAUUGAGAGGAGAGAAGGAAUCCUACACUGCAGCCUUUCCAGUUGAGCCUGGAAGUGUGGGAGAAUUGUAGUCCACUGAAACAUAAAGAAGCCGGAGUAGCGGUAUCAGAGGGGGACAGCCAGGUGUCAGUGAGUGCUAGUAAUGUGCGGGAAUUAGAGAUGAAGAGGUCUUGUAUGGCUGUUGAUUUAAUAUUGCUACAGAUGGAACGGGCGUUCCAGAGUGCACACUGAAUGUUGGUAGAGGAGGAUAAACUGCAAGGUAUUUGGAUGAGGUUUGCGUGGUUUCUAGUUGUUUUAGUUUGAGCAGACGAGGUGAAGGGCCCUGGGUUGGGAGAGACGUCACCAGCUGCAAGAAGUAGGAGGAGAGAUAGUGACAGGAGGUGUGAAUGGGUUUUAUAUGGGCGGGGUCUAGGAUGAGAUUGGGUGGCAGCAGGAGAGAAAGAAUAGAAAAAUGAGUGCAGGGCAUGAGAUAAGAGAAGUGGGGAGUAAAACUGAGAGGGUUUAAUGUUAAUGUGAUUGUGCUGUUGAGGGAUGUGGGUGAAAGGAGAUAUUUUGAUGCUGAGGGAGAGGAGAGAAAAGAAAAUAGAACAUUGCUCAGAUGAGUAAGUACUUUGAGAAAGGCAGAAUGGGCAGAUGUAAGGAGAAUGAGGACUGGGUGUUAGGGGUUAAGGGAGUGUAGGAGUGCUUUGAUUGCAGGUAGUGUUUGCAGCUGUCAUUCCCAGCAAUAAAACACAUAUAUGUGCAUACAUCCCAGCAAUCAAACAAACAUGCAAACACAAACAUUACAAAGCAAAAACACAACAUGCAAACACAAACAUUACAUACAAAAACCCCUGGAUUCAAUACACCCUUCACUCAAACACUAAUACUGCACACAAAUGUACAUCUGCAUGUACAAGGUAACACUACAUCCAAGCACACCCCUGCAGAGGCGAUUUAGGCGGCCGCCUAAGGCCUCGCACAAUCAGGGGCCUCGCGGCUGUCUAAAUCGCCUGAAGGCAGACUGACAUGUCGGGUCCUCGGUCUAUGAGCUGCAGACUGAGGUGUCUCGCGCUCUCCAGCCAAUCAGAGCGUUGCCGUGGGUUACGGCAACGCUCUGACUGGAGAUCGCGAGACAAUCCCCAUGUGGUCUGCAGCUCUGCAUCCGGCGGAGCUGCAGACCGGAAAGCCCACUGGACCACCAGGGAGCCAUCCAGGACACUGGACCACCAGGGAGCCAGACUGACCCCACUGGACCACCAGGGAAAAAG
rnacentral:lncRNA from 1 species